rnacentral:rRNA from 1 species
AUUGAACGCUGGCGGCAGGCCUAACACAUGCAAGUCGAACGAGUGGCGGACGGGUUCGUCAUGUCUGGGCAACUGCCCGAUGGAGGGGGAUAACUACUGGAAACCGUAGCUAAUACCGCAUCCCAUCGGCUGUGCCCAGAUGGGAUUAGCUAGUCGGUGGGGUAACGGCUCACCUGGGCGACGAUCCCUAGCUGGUCUGAGAGGCUGACCAGCCAAAAUGGAACGGAGACACGGGCCAGACUCCUACGGGAGGCAGCAUUGGGGAAGAUUGCAGAAUGGGCGAAAGCCGUAUGCAGCCAUGCCGCGUGUAUGAAGAAGGUCUUCGGGUUGUAAAGUCCUGUCAGCGGGGAGGCGUUACCCACAGAAGAAGCACCGGCUAACUCCGUGCCAGCAGCCGCGGUAAUUC